GUCACUUAUUACUUACUCCAUUAUCCCUUCUCUCUCUUUAAAGUUUAAUUCUUCUCUUAAAAAACAAACUUUAAUGUUAAUACAAAUUACGAUUUGAUUCUUAUUUUGCGCUCCUCUACAAAAUAAGAGUACAUUGGUGAUUUUUCGUUGAAAAGUUUUGUCGGUUCUUAAAUUGUUCUUGAGUAAGAGUAGAGACUGGGUGUCAGACCAAGGCAUUUAAGACUGUUGAGAUAUCAUGCAUCAUCCAGUACAAUUGUACAAAUGUACUAUUACUUGAUUGGUGCUCUACUUCAUAAAGCUAGCUUUCUCUCGAUAGUCGAAUCGCACAAUUGUAACUCUCGUGAAAACGAGUAGUCCACCAUGAUAUUAGUGUGAAGAAAACUACAUUUAUCUUUCGCCAUACCAAUUCAACCUGCUGCGUGCAUCAUGCAUGGGAUCAUUCUAAAUAUAUAGCCAUAAGCUUAGCUACAUUUACCACCAGGUACAAAGCUCUAAUUAUAUUAGGAAUCGACUCUUGGAGCGAGAUUUGCAAGUUGGAAGGUCAUAAGCUACUCAAAGGUCAUUUUUGUGCUUACCAGGUCUCAUACCCGGGUGGGUUUCCACAAACCCGGCCGGGUGAGCUUCUCAUACCCGGGUGGGUUUCCACAUACCCGGCCAGGCUUCAAUUGAAGAUUAAAAUGCUCUGUUGCGUACCCGGGCGGGUUUCCACAUACCCGGCCGGGUUUACUCCUGAACUUAGAAACUUUUUGAUCUUUAAGAUUUAGUUAUGCCUCGUACCCGCCCGGGUUUCCACAUACCCGGCCGGGUCAAGCAGUUAUUUUUUUUUAGUAACUUCCGUAUCCUCCGAUCUCUUUGGAGGAGGAUAUAAAUAGCUUUUGAGGAGAAUUUGCAGUUAGUUAAGUUUUUUUCUCUGUUUUGAGGGUUUGGUAGUG